AACUUGCUACGAAUAGCAUGGCAUGUUAAAAAAGUCAGAACCUAAGCAAAAACGAAAUUUGAAUUGAAACAGUUGUUUCCUAAAAGUGAAAACAAGUAUUUUGAAAAAUUAGGAGCAGGGUAAUUUUAGAAGUGGGUUGGUCAUGAGAAACUGAAAAAUAUUUUAAGAAGCUUUUUAUGAGCUGCAUGUGUUGUUAUUCUGUUGCCUAGUUACCUUUUGAAAGUUUAAUGAGUUAGUGAGUGAAAGGGUGAGGCUGAUGACAGUUACAUAAAGAUCCAGCACAUUUACAAUUCUUUGUAGACAACUGGUGUUAAUAAUAGAUGCAUCGCCACUUAACAGUCCGCCCUGAUUGCUGCAAGCCUGGGAACGAGGUGCUGUGUGGAAAACAGGCACGGGGAUGGUCGGUAAACAGACUCGCUUCAUUAUCCAAUUCACUCCCCUUCGAGGGAAUCUUUACUUUUUUUCAAAAGGAAUUUGUGAUGAUCUUUGGAAAGUAGGUUCACUCAUACGUCUAGAGCAGUUUGAGCUCAGUGUACGGAGAUAGUGCGUUCCUUGAAGUAUCCAGCGUUUUGACAGGGUCUUCAUAGACAGGACUUAGGACCAUGUGAGACUUUAGAAUUUGGAUCAAAUGAAAAGAUCUUGGUAAUUUGGAAUCAUGUGAAUGGGUCUUUUACCAUGGUAACUAUUUGGAUCUUGUGAAAAGACACAUCCAAGGACACCCAACAUGCCAACAAACAUCACCUUGAAAGUACAGCCCAUGAAGACAGAGCCACAGGACAACUGCGAGCCCAGCGACUACGGCGCCAGCGGAACCGAGGGGCCACCAUCUGUUUGGCUGCAAUCUGCCGCAUCAGCUCAUCUGUCUGGAUGUCCUCGGAAAUGUCGUCCUCCUCAGGGUCAUACAGCCUUAUCGGGACAGCAGCAGGACGGAGGACGAAGCAGCUCAGCCUCUGCAUCAGGUGCUGUAACAGUUUCCAGUUGCGGAUGAGUUCCAGCUGGUCCCGGAUCGUCAUAUGUUCCUCCGACAGGCAGGGGAAGUCAUCCAGCAUGUAGCCUGAAGGGGAGACAACUCAAGAAACAAAUGGCAUAAGCUAAGUAUUUCCUGAGCUGCAGAACACUGCUGAACUAACAACAUAGACCUAGGCAGCUUCCAAUGUUCCAAAUUCAUCCCUGAGAAGCAUCCCAUCAAGUUUCAAGGUUCUUCAACAUGGCCUCCAUCUCGGAUGAUGUUCCGGAGGGCUCUGGGAUGCUCACAGCCUCCAGGGUUGGCUGAAUCACAGACAUUCAAACAUGUACUACUGUCACAAGAAUAUUCACAAGGAAACAUAGCUACG
rnacentral:lncRNA from 1 species